ACCUUAUCUCCGAAAUCGGACUAUGGCUAGAUCAAGGUCGUGUACUCAAAACUGAUGAUGACGCAAUGCCACAUGAAACUGUUCAAGCUACAGCUUGGUAGAGAACAUUGAUAAACAUUCUAUCAACAUUUUUACCGGAUCGGAAUGGUGUCAGACUGCAGACUUUACCCCCAACGUGAUACCAAAGAAAAUGAACCAGAUUGCAUGUAACCUAAAUUUGAAAACCAAUCAAUGAGGAUGAAUAAUAUCACUUUUUCACACUUUACAGGACGGACUAGAAAUGGUUAUAGGGAUUAUGCAUUGAUAAUUACUGUGCCUCAAAAUUGUCUACAAGUUGUGAUUGAAAUUGUUGGUUAUAAUAUGAAAAGAGAAACGUUGGAUGUGGGAGCUGCAACAAGAGAGGUAUGAAAUAUGAGGUGGCCAGUUAGAUUGCUUGUGUCAACUGAUACUACUAUUCUUAAGCAGAUCAUAUUGAAUUGCUUGCUGAGACAAAUCAUUGAAAUCUUUUUGUAAGUUCAUCUGGAUGAAAUCGAAUGUGAAGAUCUUUACUUAUUUAUGGUAUAAAACCAGCAUUCAGGAAUUGUUUUUGCAUUGGAGCUGGCUAAGUCAGAAAGAUGACGGAAUCGCGAGGUGAGGCAUUGUCAUCUGGACUGGACUUUUCAUCUCUUAUUCCACCAUUCUGGGGCAUCUGACGUAGACGCAUAGCUUGAAAAUAACCAAGUUCCGGCCUUCGGUCACGACCCUCAACCAUAUCCUUCACCUGAUCAGUGAAAUUCACCUGUGAUGAGUGAACGACAAGACCAUUCUUAUCGGUUAUGAUGUCACGAGUGUUGAGAAUGUCGUCGACAGAUAUUCCCCGGCUGGCGUCAUCUAUUAGGAUCGUCCUGUAGCCAUGGUCUAGAGAAUCCCUAGCUGUCGCGCCUUAAAAAUGUUUUCCCGAGUCAGCAAUUGCAGAUAUCCAUUUCAAAGAAUUAUUUGCUUACCGACGCAAACAUCGUAGGCGAGUCCGCAAACGUACAGAAAGCUGAAUAGGAAUCGAUAUCCGGAUGAACUCCUUUGUGGACUAGUAUCCCAUUUUCCAGUAUCUACAGGGUGAUAAAUUGAAAACAAAAAAGGACUUACGGGCUUGAUCCAAUGCUUCCAGCAGAAGGCAAACUCUUGGAAAUCCACAUAACCGUCCUGGAACAGACGUCAAACAUUUCCUGGAGCCGACUUUCCUCGAUGGCGUAAGCUUUGCCCUGCUCAUUGCGGAAGAGAGUACGACACAGGGCGGCAAAGUCGGACAACGUCAUUAACCCGUCACUGUGUUGGUGACGUCAUUGGCCGAGCGGGGGGGAAUUGACCUUCGCAAAUGACCGGAUCCAGUGAAAACGACCACCCCGUGGAAAGGGCCAAUUCACAGCUUGUAAAUUGUGACGGUUUAGGCAAAAAUUGGGAGGCUUGUUGUUGGCACCGAUCGGUCGAUAUUUGAAAGGACUGGACGCGCAUGGAAAGGUGUCAAGAAGAGUGUCGUCGUUGGUGUCGUCGACGGCUGGAUGUUGUUGAUCCUGAUCCAGCAAUUGAGCCAACUGUCCUUCGUCUGAGGCGAUCAGGUCACUGCUGCUGCUACUGCACGGUUCGGCCAUUCGAGCGGAAUAGAGGCAGCCAAGGCAAGGCUAAAACCUUUUUGCCACGACUUGAGUAAAUAGCUUCGGGUUGCUUUGGUAACCGUGGCACACGGGACAGUGCGGUCUUGUACGUACUAGCACACAGACGGGUUGUAGAUAUAUUAUUAUAGGCUGUGCGCGCCAGAACUUGUCCCAUUUCUCUCCCGACUUCCUUGUUCUCCUUCCCGUGACAAGCCCGUGUACACACAAAAGUUGAUCCCCUCAUAAAAUUAUCGAGAUUAUACAGCCAUAAUUGAAUCAAAUGUUGCAAUCGCGAUAAAAUAGCUCAAACUUCACGAAUCAACUGGGAAAUCGAGUUGGGCGGGGACGCUUAGCAUAUCCUCGGUAGAUCUAUUCAUUUCUUUUGGGUUUUUAAAAUGGACUUGGAAAUAUUAACGUAACUAACAUUUCUAUCCAUCCAUCCGGAUGGUAUACUUUAUUGUGAUUGAAUUGCCCCAAGCACGAUUCUCCCCUUUACAUUCUAUGCCCAGUUUGACAACACGAACGCUGUCACGACUCGCCAGAUGGCAAUCAACGGGAUUCGAGAAAGAAGACUAAUGCUAACGUAUAUACACACACACACACCCCACCUAUUUGUUUUGUUAGACUUAGAUUCCCACCCUUUCGACGGCCUGAAUUAUAUAUGAGCGCCUCACGGGGGUCAUAGAAAAGGGUAACACAACAACAAAACAGUACUACUAACCCCGAACUUUGUCGUCACGUCCUGUACAACUGCUGACUGGCUCCCACAAAAUCGAUUGCAUCAUCAUCGUAAUUAUCUUAUGCUUUUGAAAAUGUGUGACGACGAUAUGCAGAGACUUGAUACGAUGAGUUUCUUACGUGAUAUUUGGCUUAAAGUAAUGAGUUUGCGGAUAGAUUUCGCGGCAUAGUAUAGUCUCGCUUUUUUAUUUUUAUUUUACCUGAUGUCAGUUUUAACAGUUGCUCCUCUGUCGUUUCUCACAGCGUGGUGUUAAACAAGAAGAAAGAUUUUCACGGCUGGCGGCGCGACUCUACAGCACUACACUAUUACUUUUGUAACCGAGUUGUGUUUUUUUUUUAAAGAACUUGCACAGAACGGACGAAUCAAUACACGCCAAA
rnacentral:lncRNA from 1 species